AUUGAACGCUGGCGGCAGGCUUAACACAUGCAAGUCGAGCGGGGGAAGGUAGCUUGCUACCGGACCUAGCGGCGGACGGGUGAGUAAUGCUUAGGAAUCUGCCUAUUAGUGGGGGACAACAUCUCGAAAGGGAUGCUAAUACCGCAUACGUCCUACGGGAGAAAGCAGGGGAUCUUCGGACCUUGCGCUAAUAGAUGAGCCUAAGUCGGAUUAGCUAGUUGGUGGGGUAAAGGCCUACCAAGGCGACGAUCUGUAGCGGGUCUGAGAGGAUGAUCCGCCACACGGGGACUGGAACGCGGCCCAGACUCCUACGGGAGGCAGCAGUGGGGAAUAUUGGACAAUGGGGGGAACCCUGAUCCAGCCAUGCCGCGUGUGUGAAGAAGGCCUUAUGGUUGUAAAGCACUUUAAGCGAGGAGGAGGCUACUUUAGUUAAUACCUAGAGAUAGUGGACGUUACUCGCAGAAUAAGCACCGGCUAACUCUGUGCCAGCCGCCGCAGUAA
rnacentral:rRNA from 1 species